AAAAAUUCAAACAAUUACAAUUAUGCAACCCUAACAAUUCCUCUCUCACGGGCAAUUCUUCCUCUCCCAUUAUAAUAUCAUAAAUCUUCUCUCUCCAAUCCCUCUUCUCAUCUUCACGCAAUUCAGAGAAGAUGAAGUUAUUGCCAUGGUUGGGUCUCCAUCCUCACGCCUCUUUUCAUAGUUGCCUCUCUCCACUAAAAUUCUUCAUCUUCCUUUGAUUUUGAGCCUUUUGUAAUGCUAAUUUAGCAGAUUUUGGGUCUUGUCGUCUUCAAGGAUGACAUUUGCAACGUUACAAUGAUGGCUAUUGUCUAGUUGUUGGAUGUAUUCCAUAUAGAUUCAGAGAAACCAAAACAUCACCUCCAAUUCAUGGGACCGUAAUUGAAGAAUUGGAAGUUUUAUUGAUUACCUCUCAAAAGAGUCCAUGAAUGAUGUUCCCAAAGAAGUUCUACAACGUGUGUGAGAUACAAAGGGAUAUUGAGAUAAACUCCAUCAGCCAAUUCACAAUGUAAUUAAGUUGUAACUUGUUCGACUUAAGUAUUAUUGUCAUGUUAUUUGAUCAUUGAUCAUUACUUAUGUGUUGCCACAAUGCAUCUAAAUUAAAUACGUUGCUUUCGAGUGCAGAAUCGAUAUUUUGCUUCAUUUUGAACCAUGCCGAAGAAACCAUUUGCAACAGCAGAGCAGAGAGCAUAGGAUGAUUAUAGGAAUCGUCUGUCAUUGAAGUCUUUUAUGUGCUAUUGUAAGAAUAGAAACAUUACAUUUAACUUUGAAAAUUCAUGUCAUCUGUGAUAAUGUUGGCUUACAAAGUUCAGUGAUAAAUAAUGAGGGACUUUUUGGGAUGAGUGCUUGUCCUACGAGUUAAGAUUCUAUAAUUUGCAUUUGACUGUUGAUAUUAUAUUUAAACAAAUCUUUUGAUGGCAUUGUUCUUCAUCACUCUUAGACACUUUACAGCACUUUCUUGUGCCUGAUUAUUUAUUAAACCUGUAAACACCAUGGCAAGUGAAGAUCAAACGCCACCAGAAAAGUCCCAUUCCAAAUAUUCAAAUAACAGUAAUGUCAAUCCGAGAAGAGAUUCAUUGAAGCCAUACUUUGUUCAUUAUUCAGAUCAGCUUGGACAUAUACUCAUUCCAACAAAAUCUGAAUGGUGCCAAUUAUUUGGGGGUAAAAGCAUCUUCUUUGUACGCAUUAUUCUUAUCGAAUUAAGGGUUAGUAAGCAUUAUUCUUAUUGAAUUUUAUUGUGUAUGUAGUGCUAAAUAACAUUGUAAAAUUAUCUUCUUUGUUAAUUAUAUUCAGUGUUGUCCAAUCCAACAUACAAAACAUGCCCGAAAACUUUAUGUCCUCUUAUUUUUCUCCAUUGCAUUUUCUUACAGGAUAAAUUAGGUGAAUGGAUUUUCAAGAGUAGAAGCAGAGACACAUUUCAUGAGGGCUACAUGUUUCCUAUGCUCGUUACAGAGGAAUUCGAUGUUUGGCCAGAGAAAAAUGUCCGUCAGUGAAUAUGGGUAAGUUCCCUUGUCAAAAUCUAUGUGCACGCUUAUGUAAAGUUUGUUCGUAAGCAAUUUGAAUUGCUUUUGUGUAAGUAAUAUGUCGAAUAUUUUCCUUGUUCUUGAGAGGCAAGAAUCUUAAGGGCCGUUUUCUCCAAAGUUGUCCUAUAUAUUCCUCUCUGGUCUUUUGGAUACUCAUUUGUACCAUAACUUGUUGGCAUCCAUCAGCUCUAAAGCGACAGUGGCAGUACGUUUUGUUCAUUUCAGUAUCUGACUUUGCUUUCUGGAAUUUUUGUUUGGUUUCUCUCUAUUGAUCACAUAACUAGGGCUUGGGGAAAGAUGGAAGUGGCAUGGUAGAGCCUGUCCAAGUUCAGGUCACGGAUACUAGAGCGGUACUAGGGAAUCAGCCUAAGAAGUUGGAUCCAAAACUCGAAGUGCAGGCUGGAGAUAGUUAUAAAGCUGUUAUUCAAAAGAAGGCCAUUGCCCGGUUUUGAGAAAUAUCAUAGGUGAGUUGACAGGGAAGAAGCUGUUUUUCUUGGUGCUCCACUAUUUGUUAUCCCUUUUGAGUUAUGUUUGUAGAACUGGUGAAAGUCACUGUAGGCAAGGUUAAUUUAUCGCCCUGGGGUUGUGAAAUAGUUGAAAUUAGAGAUUGCUUCGAUUAACCGGUGAUCUUUAUGUUAUAUCAUGGUUACUUGAUUUGUCCCUUCGUCUCCAAUGCCAUUGUUUAUGUGAAAUUUGUAGUUUGGAUAGUUUAUUGUAGUUUCCAGCUGUAUAGAGGAUGCAACAAAAAUUUGUAAUGAAAUUAUUAGUUUUUAUGCAAUUCCAAAAUUUGUUCA